rnacentral:tRNA from 1 species
AUCUUUUUAGUAUAAAAAAUAUAUUUAACUUCCAAUUAAAAGAUUCUAUUAAGAAAAAGAUA